rnacentral:rRNA from 1 species
CCUACGGGUGGCAGCAGUGGGGAAUAUUGCACAAUGGGGGAAACCCUGAUGCAGCGACGCCGCGUGAGUGAAGAAGCGUUUCGGCGCGUAAAGCUCUGUCAGCGGGGAAGAAACACGGUUCGCGCGAGCCGCGGACGGUACCCGACCAAGAAGCCCCGGCUAACUACGUGCCAGCAGCCGCGGUAAUACGGAGGAUGCGAGCGUUAUCCGGAUUUAUUGGGUUUAAAGGGUGCGCAGGCGGAAGAUCAAGUCAGCGGUAAAAUUGAGAGGCUCAACCUCUUCGAGCCGUUGAAACUGGUUUUCUUGAGUGAGCGAGAAGUAUGCGGAAUGCGUGGUGUAGCGGUGAAAUGCAUAGAUAUCACGCAGAACUCCGAUUGCGAAGGCAGCAUACCGGCGCUCAACUGACGCUCAUGCACGAAAGUGUGGGUAUCGAACAGGAUUAGAUACCCUAGUAGUC